AAUCCUACGGGAGGCAGCAGUGGGGAAUAUUGCACAAUGGGCGAAAGCCUGAUGCAGCAACGCCGCGUGAAGGAAGAAGGCCUUCGGGUCGUAAACUUCUGUCCUUGGGGAAGAAGAACUGACGGUACCCAAGGAGGAAGCCCCGGCUAACUACGUGCCAGCAGCCGUGGUAAUACGUAGGGGGCAAGCGUUAUCCGGAAUUAUUGGGCGUAAAGAGUACGUAGGUGGUAUGUCAAGUCAAGGGUGAAAUCCCCGCGCUCAACGUGGGAACUGCCUUUGAAACUGGCAAACUGGAGUGUGUGAGG
rnacentral:rRNA from 1 species